AUGAAGACGAGGCGCGGCGCGUGCUACUCCUGCCAUGAGCCGGCGGCCGAGGCGCCGGAGAUGCACCGCCGGAAGAGGCGGAGAACGGCCAUGGAGGCGGCGGGGUGUGCUGGCGCUGCCGUCGGAGACUUGUUCGAGGACCUGCCGGAUGAUCUGCUGGUGUCCAUACUUGCUGAUGUGGCCGCGUCCGCCCGCUCGCCGGCCGACCUCGCCGGCGCCAUCAUGACGUACGUGCCUGCCUACUCUGCUUUCUUAUAUGAUGAAUGCAAAUCGUCGCUGGGAUGGAGACGGCGUUCUUACGGGGAGUUGUUGGGAUGUGCUCGCAGGUGCAAGAGAUUCAGGGAGUUGGGCCAGAACAAGGUUGUCCUUGCCAAGGUGUCGCCGCGGUGCCUCGCCGUCCGGGCCAAAAGCUGGUCCGACUCCGCCCACCGCUUCUUGCAGCGCUGCGCGGACGCCGGGAACCUCGACGCAUGCUACCUUCUUGGCAUGAUCCGGUUCUACUGCCUGGGGAGCCGGGGGUCGGGAGCGGCGCUGAUGGCGGCAGCGGCGGUGGGUGGCCACCGGGAGGCGCUCUACUCGCUGGCCGUCAUCCAGUUCAACGGCAGCGGUGGCAGCAAGGACGACCGCGACCUCCGCGCGGGCGCUGCGCUGUGCGCGCGCGCGGCGUCGCUCGGCCACGUCGACGCACUCCGCGAGCUCGGCCACUGCCUUCAGGACGGCUACGGCGUGCGCCGCUCCUUGCUCGACGGGCGCCGCCUCCUCAUCCAGGCGAACGCGCGGGAGCUCGCCGCCGCGGUCACCACGUCGGCCUCGCUGCUCCGCGCGACAGCCGGCAGCGUCAAGGCCACGCGGAGGCAGCACUCGUGUCUGCUCAGCGACUUCGGGUGCCGCGCCGCCGCCGCCGCGGCCGGCGAGGCGCAUGCCGCCAACCGGUUCCUCGUCGAGUGGUUCGCGUCGCGGCCGCUGGGCGCCGAGAGCAGCCCAGCGCCGGCGCCGGCGCCAGCUGAGGAGGGCGGUGGCCUGCGGCUGUGCUCGCACGCGCUGUGCGGUCGGCCGGAGACGCGGCGGCAUGAGUUCCGGCGGUGCUCCGUAUGCGGCGUGGUGAACUACUGCUCUCGCGCAUGUCAGGCGCUGCACUGGAAGAUGGCGCACAAGGCCGAGUGCACGCCCAUGGACCGGUGGCUCGACGGCGCUAACGCGAACCCCAACCCCAAUGCCGUCGCAGGCGUAGGCGACGCCGCGGUGGCCGCUCCGGCCCUGUAA
rnacentral:rRNA from 1 species